rnacentral:tRNA from 1 species
GGGAUGAUACUCGAACGGGCACAUCAGCCGCACAGGCUCAUCGGACUUUUAAUCCGCUGGUCGCGGGUUCGAGCCCCGCAGGGCCCACCA